rnacentral:rRNA from 1 species
GACGAACGCUGGCGGCGUGCUUAACACAUGCAAGUCGAACGGAAAGGCCUGCUUUCCCUUGUGGAUUGCGGGUACUCGAGUGGCGAACGGGUGAGUAACACGUGAGUGAUCUGCCCCCAACUUGGGUAUAAGCCUGGGAAACUGGGUCUAAUUCCCGAUAGGACUGCAGGGUGAUGCCUGUGGUGGAAAACGAUUUUCUAGUGGUUGGGGAUGAGCUCGCGGCCUAUCAGCUUGUUGGUGGGGUAAUGGCCUACCAAGGCGGCGACGGGUAGCCGGCCGGGGAGGGUGGACGGCCACAUUGGGACUGAGAUACGGCCCAGACUCCGACGGGAGGCAGCAGUGGGGAAUAUGGCACAAUGGGCGGAAGCCUGAUGCAGCGACGCCGCGGGGGGGAUGACGGCCUUCGGGUGGUAAACUCCUUUCGACCGCGAGGAAGCCACCUGGUUGGAAGGGUGGUGACGGUAGUGGGAGAAGAAGCACCGGCUAACUACGUG